GCGACCUUGAAUCGCGAGAGGGUGAGGGCCUGAGGGACGGCGCCUCGCGCGAUUCCGAAACUUUUCCUACGCUCUCUCUCUCCCGUUCGCGCUCGCGCGCGUCGGAGCGUCGAACGCGCGCAAAAGCGGCGCUUUCGGGGGUAGAAAAUACUGGAGACACCAUCGGGCUCUGUGUAAAAAAUUGGGUACCAAAAAUUUGCAUCACGCAUGAGAGGUUUUUUACGCAAUGUGAGAGAGACGUUUCGUCGAUAUCACGGAAUCAUCGAAGGUACUUCGUAAUCGAGAAGAAAAUAUAAAGAAAAAUAUAAUUAAUUUUUCUGGAGGAAGACUUGGCGUUAGCUAAGGAUGACGCCAACUUACAUCCGACACUGCGAAACGCGACUACCACCUACCUACCCCACCAGACUGAUAUGGGCCGAAUCGAUAUCUUUACUGAGAUUUCCGUGCGUAAUCGCGCCCUAAAUCGUUCUUCGGCUUAUUGGACAUUAUUUUUUUAUGGCGGAUCGCGCGCCUAGCUCUGCGCGGUCUUCCACGUGCGGCAAGAAAUUCCACAUGCGCGAUAAUUAAUGCAAUAUAUAUAUUUCUUAGUUUUCUUUCACCUUGCUUCUUGCCGGCACGAAAGGGGGUAAAGGUCAUUACUAACACCGCACGCGAAGUCUCGUUUACGAGAUCGGGCGCUUUUAAUAAAUUAAAUAAGAGUCCAAGGAUUUUUUUCUUUUCCAAGACGCAAACGAGAAGAAACGAAAACUGAUUUCGUAUCAAAUGAAUCGGACCGAGGUCUCAGCAGCGAGUUUAAAAUUAGUCCAGGACGAUCGAUUUCCGGUGAUUUUAUAUUAUUAACAAUCAGACGCGAUUGUACAUGAUUGACGCAAUUGUAUCUAAUAUUAUAUUCUCAAAGCGAUAUGGCGUGUUAUUGAUCCUUUCUUUGUUCAGCUGGAGGCAUUAUUGAUGUAACGAGUCGACUGAUUGAUCUUUGAUAGCGUAAUUUAACACGACUCGCGGAAACACGAUCGCGUGCUCGCGAGCAUUAUAUGGUGACAGCUAAUUAUGUAAUUUUUCAGUAGAGGAAAUUGGAUAACGAAGCAAGAUGUUAUCAAUUUGCUCAAUUUACCCUAUAAUAAAUAAAUUUGAAAAAA